rnacentral:rRNA from 1 species
GACGAACGCUGGCGGCGUGCUUAACACAUGCAAGUCGAACGGAAAGGCCUCUUUCGGGGGGUACUCGAGUGGCGAACGGGUGAGUAACCCGUGAGUAACCUGCCCUUGACUUUGGGAUAACUUCAGGAAACUGGGGCUAAUACCGGAUAGGAGUUCCUGCUGCAGGUUGGGGGUUGGAAAGUUUCGGCGGUUGGGGAUGGACUCGCGGCUUUUCAGCUUGUUGGUGGGGUAGUGGCUUACCAAGGCUUUGACGGGUAGCCGGCCUGGGAGGGUGACCGGCCACAUUGGGACUGAGAUACGGCCCAGACUCCUACGGGAGGCAGCAGUGGGGAAUAUUGCACAAUGGGUGGAAGCCUGAUGCAGCAACGCCGUGUGCGGGAUGACGGCCUUCGGGUUGUAAACCGCUUUCGCUCAUGACGAAGCUUUGUGUGACGGUAGUGGGUAAAGAAGCACCGGCUAACUACGUG